GGUCCAUUAGCUCAAUUAGUUAGAGCAUCGUGCUACUAACGUGAAGGUUGCAGGUUUGAGACUUGCUUGGGCCA